GGCUGGUCCGAAGGCAGUGAGUUAUCUCCCGUGGUCGUUCACAGUCAGUUACAGAUCGAACUCAUCGUUCUCCUACUUUCCCCUCCUCACUACUGCACUUGACUAGUCUGAA
rnacentral:Y_RNA from 1 species